UCCUUAAUUUCGGACAAUUCUAAGACAUCACACUGAGCUUGGAUGAGCCUAGUUGAACAAUUGAUGAUGAAAAAUCCGCUAUAGGGUAGAAGACUUAACCGGAAACACGUGGGCGAUCCUCCUUGAGGAUGCAGUGCCAAGAGUCACCUUCAAAGGAAGGGACCAAAAUCGGCACAAUAUGCCAUGUUUCUAAGGACGAUGUAAGUGUACAUCUUGAUUGUAAAUCAAUAUGAACUAUAAGAGGAGAAUAGUUUCACUUCGAAAAAAUUCUCAAGGCAUUCAUUAUUGCUAAUGUGAGUACAUUGAGGUCUCAAAUAGACAAAUGACGUCGAUACAACGCCUUAGUACAUAAAGCUUGGAACGAAAAUCAAUGUCUAGCCGAUGACGUCAAAGUCAUGGGUAGCUAGAGCAGGAUCCGAAUCUUUGAAAUUCGCGAUCAUGAGGAUGACGUUCUUGUCCUCAUAUUGAUUUUCCGUACCUUUUUGUAUGCAUUCACAAUUUGAAGGAGCUUGACAAUCUUGAACCAGUGAUCCGAAGAUCCACAACGGUUGCAUUAAUGUCAUGAGCUGACGUGAGUAGUUUUGACAAAAUGGUGUCUAGACCGGGAGUGUCGCUAUUAGAGCCGGCAACACCUCCCCCUCUUUUCUAGACAUCGGCACGACGUUUUCUGCCGUUGCCAUGACCCAUAUUGUUGUCCCCACAUUAGGGGAUAAUCCCAAAUAAGUUUAUCACAUUAGCGUAUAUACAAUUCUCGUUUGUAUGAUCAAAAUCAAGUCUUGUUGGUAAUUCCACACCAACUUGGAGGACCUAGAGAACUUGAUGAUGAUCGAAUCCGACUAAAGAUUAUGGAUCAUGAUGCCACAAAAGAUCAUCGACAAUAUGUAGUCAAUUAAGGUGGUAAGCAAUCCACUUGACUAAUAACUCAACAAGUAGAGUUAUAUGAACGUUUCGAGAAAUGCUCCAUGAGUGCAUUCCACAGUACUUUGUGGUCAUUACUUUUUGCACAGGUUGCCAUUGAAGGCUUUUGUCGAUGUGGCGCUUCAAAAACUUUGAGCGCAUGAGAUGUGAAAUCUCGGCAUCUAGG
rnacentral:lncRNA from 1 species